GGGCUUCUUACAGCAAAAUUAAUACAAAGUAAAUUAAAACCAAAGUGUGUAGGAUAGGUGGGAGACUUUGGUCAAGCGUGAAAGACCACCCCUUAGAUUUAAUUAAACCUACUUCUGAAAAGAAGGAAAACUUGAGCCCUG
rfam:Dictyostelium discoideum AX4 chromosome 1, whole genome shotgun sequence.